rnacentral:rRNA from 1 species
GCGGACGGGUGAGUAAUACUUAGGAAUCUGGCUAUUAGUGGGGGACAACAUUUCGAAAGGGAUGCUAAUACCGCAUACGUCCUACGGGAGAAAGCAGGGGAUCUUCGGACCUUGCGCUAAUAGAUGAGCCUAAGUCGGAUUAGCUAGUUGGUGGGGUAAAGGCCUACCAAGGCGACGAUCUGUAGCGGGUCUGAGAGGAUGAUCCGCCAC